rnacentral:rRNA from 1 species
UACGUAGGGUGCGAGCGUUGUCCGGAAUUAUUGGGCGUAAAGAGCUCGUAGGCGGUUUGUCGCGUCGACUGUGAAAACCCGAGGCUUAACCUCGGGCCUGCAGUCGAUACGGGCAGACUAGAGUUCGGUAGGGGAGACUGGAAUUCCUGGUGUAGCGGUGAAAUGCGCAGAUAUCAGGAGGAACACCAGUGGCGAAGGCGCCACUCUGGGCCGUAACUGACGCUGAGGAGCGAAAGCGUGGGUAGCAAACAGG